AAGUCUAAUGAGAAAAUGUAUCUAUUUUUUUACUGUGACGUGAAUGAUUACUGUAACAGUAUUUGUAUAAAAAGCAUUACUCUAUUUACCGCUGCAACGUAAGACCGUUAGUAGUUGGUAGGAAAUGGCGUGAAAUGUGUGUUUGAAAAUUGUUAUAUGGCCUACAGCGGUAAUAUGAGAAUUGUUUUCAAUGCAUGGGUAACAAACAAUAGCAAUAUGUAUUAAUGUAAUACAUUUAUAUGUGAUAAUAUAUGAAGCAAUAUAUUGGAAGUAUUUCUUGGGGGGAAAAAAAGGAGCAUUUGAAAAUUCAUAGAAAUUUGAACGAAACGUAUAAAGCUCCUUAUACAUUUUUCACUGAGUUUUCCAGGCAGAAAUUUAAAUUUCUUGACGUUUAAAGUUGUUUAUGGACCAGCGGCUGUUUCCAUAUAAUACAUUUUAUUCGGGUCUUUCCAGAUGGUACUGCUUGCCAUUGAAGGACAUAAUGAUACAUAUCCUGAUGAAAAUACUGUUUAUUUUAAACUACAUUGUCUUUAAAAUUGCUCUUGAUGAUGGUGAAUAUACUGUAAUGCUGUGUGCCUUUCAUCAAAUUGACAAAUAUAUUCUUUCAACUGUUAUCAAAAACUUGCAUUGUUUGCAAAAGGAAUUUUUCAGCCCAUGAAAUGGAAGUAUAGCUGAAAUAUGUAUGAUAUUAAGCCCCCUUCUUCAUGUUUUAAAUCUUCUAAUGACACUUGAAUGUUUAUCACUGAAUUAUAAGACAAGGAAUACUUCUCAGUGGAUAGCCACAAAUAGAAAUCAAGAAUAAAUGGCUGGUUUUACAGAAGACAAUUGAUUCAUCAUGUACCAAAUAAAUUUUUGUAUAAAUAUGAAGAAACAUGCAAACUAUAGAAUGGUGUUCUUUUGCAUGUUUGUUUUGUUCCUUAUGGCAUUGGCUAUAUUUUUGUCAUACCUGUUAGUUGAAGAAUGUCUUUAUUGUAAUUAAUGAUUUUUUAAAAAAGGAAGAGCUAUGUGUAAUGUUAGUUUAAAAGAUAUAAUAGGACAUUAACAUGAUAUUACUCUGUAUUCGUAUUGUGUCUUGUUUGUGUAGGAGCUGCUUGUGUAUGUCUUCUGAUUUUCAAGUUGGAGGAGUUUCACAAGAAGUGAAUUCACUUAAAAUUGUAUGUCAAAAUUUGCAAAAUAUUUACAGAAAUUUGUGAAAUGAUGAAACAAAUUUAUGUUGAUAAGUAUUUAAGUAUACAAUGUUAUGAAUGUGUUAAAUAAUUUAAAGACUGUCUUCAAUGAACUGGUUAUGAUAUAUGCUCAGGCAGCCUUCAGUGAUAACUGAUAAAUCUUAUGCAGCGAAGAGGAAAGUUCAAGGAGGAUUGGCAAUUGAAGUUGAUCAGUAAGCCUGUCAAGACUGCUUCUAGAGCUGGAAACAACACGAGUAAUAGUGUAUCAAUGGAGAAAAAUACUGUGAAACGCAUAACAACUUUAUAAAGUUAUUUAAAAAUAUAUAUAUAAAGAUUCAGACAAAUAUAAUGUGAAUUUUGCUUUUGAGCUGCGAUAGAUGUACUAAAGACGUUGAUGAAGUUGUCAUUCAGCGACCUGUGAUGUUGAAUAGUGAUCAGUUUGUUUGUUUUCAUUGUCCAUUUUCUUCAAAUAAAGCAGAACACAUUCGCGAACAUUUGCAGACUCACUCAGAAUGCCGCCGUAAGUCAUUUUCUCGCAAGGCUUCAGGUGCAAAUCGAUUUACUUGCUACCAGUGUUCUUUUACAACUGAUACUGAAAAGGCGAUUUCAGAGCAUCUGCAAAGUCAUGUAGCUAAACAUCAUUAUAAUUGCUACAUGUGUGACCAGAAAUUUCACUUUAAACAUGAAUUAACUUUGCAUCUUAAAACACAUGCAAGUUGUCAAACAUUCAGGUGUGAUUUGUGCUCACGAGAAUUCUCUCGUCUUAGUAUGCUGUCUUAUCACCGAAAGUAUCAUACAGAUAAAAAAUUGUUUGAAUGUCGUUAUUGCCAUAAAGUGUUUUGCGAUAUUAUUUCAUUCAACCAGCAUGAAAGCAUCCAUACUGACACUAAUUAUGUCAACAGAAAAUAAAUACUUUCUGGACAAGGUGAAUUUCAACAUACACGAUUUAAUUUUAACAUUAACAGCAUUAAUUUCAACCAAAUAGUUUUUUAUAUCCCUUCUGGAUCAAUGUACCUGCAGUUCAGUUUAAAUUUUUUUUUCAUAAUGUUUUAUAUAUAUUUAUGUUGUUCUUGCAAAAAAAAAAAUGUUUACAGUUUGUUCUUGUAAUAUAUUUGACUUGUGAAUGUAAUUCAUAGUGUUUAAGGUCAUAUAAGUGUUAUAUAAUGGUUCUAAAAGACUUCAAACAUUAAUAAAAAUUCUUUUAUUCAGCCUCAUAUUGACUAAAUAUUUUUUCUUUUAAAACAUGAGCAUAUAUAAAUUUGAAAGCAUCGAACUUUAAAAUAAUUUGAAGGAUAAAUAUUGCUCAUUAACCUUUUUCUUCAUUAUGUAAUUUUGAAACAGUGUUGUAUUGUGCUGUGUAUGCCCGAAAUUAAACAUAUUUUUAGAAAAA